rnacentral:sRNA from 1 species
UGUGUGUGUGUGCUUGAUGGAGGUAUUCAAUGACUGACGGUUCUGUCAGAAUUGCAUAGGAAGUGGUAAAGGCAGCCGGAGGAGGGCCAGCUCUCUAUGAGGAUUUAUGAGUAGUAUCAUUUAGGACUCUUUGGUAGCAAGUGAGAGACUCUGUUCCACCUCUGCCAACCUAAGCAUACAGGAACCUGUUUCCAUGGUGAUAGCCUCAUGAAUCCAAGAAAGGGCUGGCCAAGCAGGUUUUAAGAUAGAGAAACUUGUGAGAGCUUGGGGACCUUGGUGGCCUUCUCUUAUCCUUAUGUAUCUCCUCAAAGGUGAGAGACCGAGGGCUAAGCUGCUGGUGCCAGGUGCCCAUCAUCCAUCAGCUGCGAUCACAAGCGUCUUGGCUGGCAUUCCCACAGAGGCGGGGGAUGGGAGAGGGCUGGUUUCUGAAGGAAAGCUUGCUGCUGCUUCUGGAGGCAGAGGAAUGGGCACUGGGCAGGCGAACCGGAGGGGCACAUACCAUGGCACCUGGAUCUGCUAGCUAACUGUUGCUGUUUCCCCGGCCCUAUCCCACCACACCCAGCUGCACUGUUUUCCAGAGAAAUGGUGAGAAGACUGUUUGCACAAACAGCUAUGGAACAUUUCUCAAAGGACAAGUAGACCGUGCUCCUCCAAAGAGAGAAUCGGUGGGGUUUUACCUCUUCUGACCCAAGAGAACAAAGCUUUGGCUCGGAGGAAUAAAAAACAAAAUCAGAUGCUUAUAUAAUGCCUGUCCGAUGCCAGCUGACAUCCUAAUGCAGAUUCCAUGUACUAAGUCACAGCAGUCCCCUGUGCUAGGUGUUGCUAUUAUCCCCACCCCUACCACUUCUAGAAAGGACUAUUAUUCUUCCCCCUUUAGUCACAGAAAAGGAAGUACAGUCAGAAGAAGCUUGGUUCAGGGCCACCCUAGCUAGUGAGACUGGUUCUGGGCUCUAACCUGAGACUUCUGACUGGCAUCCACAGAGUUAGCUGCCUCUCUGAUGAGCCACAGGGAACUGGAUAUACUGUGUGUUGCUUUGGACGCCAACAGUACCAGAGCCUUAAGGCAUUGCUAUUGAACUACAAUUCCCAGCAUGCAUCUGAGAGAGCUAUUCCCCUUAACUCCUUCUUCACCAAAAACUCCCUCACGGCCUUGUAUAAAGUCAUUUUUCAAUGACAAAAUUCAACCUCUCUAUGGAAUGCCUGUGCAAUUGCAUGAAUGUAGUUGUGGGUGGGGUGAGUUUCUAGGUUAAAAUACCUUUUGCAUUUCCAGUGUCCAAAAGAAGACAUGAGAGAUUUAGCACAAUGAAGAUCUGCAAGCUUCAAAAUAUGCACUGUGGAAACUCAACACGGGUCUCAAACUUAGCUAAACUUUGGAAUCACACGAGAAAAUCUGAAAGCUCAUAAUACCUAUGUCACAGAGAGGUUAUAAUUUAGUUGUUGUUGUUUUGAGACAGGGUCUCACUAUUUAUCUCUGGCUGUCCUGGUACUCACAGCUGGCCUUGAACUCACAGAGAUCUACUUACCUCUACCUCUCAAGUGCUUGGCUUAUAGGUGUGCUAUCAUGCUAAGCUAUAACUUGCUUUUUGUUUUGUUUUGAUUUUUAAAGUCUACCCACUGGAACUUUUGAGGGAAUCCUCCAAUGAACUCUAAGGGAUCCUGCAGAAGCACACCUCUCUGAUACCUAGGGAAGUGUCAGGGUUGGCCAAGAGGCAGACAUGUUGAACAAGGAGAAACAGCCUCUUCUGAAGAAAUAGAAAGCUGAUUGGGACAUAAAAGAACUAUAAACAAUAUGGAGGCUUAACGACAACUCCAGCAGGAGUGAUGGUCUCCAACAAAAGGACAAGAAGGAAGCAGAGUGGAGACUGCAGUCAAGUGAGAAGAAAGGGAGCAGGUCUCCAUGCACCGCAGUGGUUUCCUGGAAUAAAGCUGAGGAAAGGUGAUCUCACCCCCGUCUACAUGGAGGAAGUUGUGCGAGUAUGGGGCUUCCACGAGAUGUUUCUUCACUGAUGGAAGGGAUUUAAUGUGUGCUUCCCUGGGAUUGCCACAGCAAAGAAAUGAUUUUUACAAGACCUUGCUCAUGACCUGCCUCCUGUUAUCCAAUGUCUCCUCACCGAAUAUAAGAGCCUCCUCCUGAAUCUGUCAGAAGGAUCUUGGAAGGAAAGGAUGAGAGAGAAAAACAGGCCUUCAGAGCUGGAGAACGGAUAUGAUUAUCUAUAACCCAGAUCAAGACCAGCUCCUCCAUUGAUUCUCAGCUUUGUGGAUAAGACUAAGUGAAGACAGUGCCCACUGAGCCCUGGGCCUGUGUUCCUGGGACUCUCGUUGCAGAACAGGUCCAUGACGGUGUUAGAACCUUCAGUGUCCCUGCCUUCCUGUAUCUUGGGUGUCCACAUUACCUGAUUGUUGAUGAACCUACAUGAUGAAGGUUGCUCAUGUUCUGGGUUUCCUGUUCCUGUCUUAGGUCAGUUUCCCUUUUCUCCACGUUCAUCUUCCUUUCCAUUUCCACGGUUCUGCUUAAGUGUUAGCCCCUUGAACUUGAGCACAGGAGUCCCAGGUUUUAUGGGAGGGAGAAUACUGAAGCAGGAUUCUGAGGAUGGGGUAAGUUGGAUGCUGUACAGAGUAGACUGGAUGCUGCAUCUGCUAAUCUAAUCAUAGACAUGCUUGGAGGACAAAGGGGCUUUAUGUCAGUUUGUGAGGGAGGGGAGAGAGAGAGAGAGCAAGGAGAGAGAGAGAGAGAGAGAGAGAGAGAGAGAGAGAGAGAGAGGCGUUUAAGCUAUUAAACUAUUAGGAUUUUGGGACUGACUAAUCUUUCUGGUUUCUUCUGUGAACUGUAACUAAUUGACAGUUAACCAUUCUAGACUCUGCUUCUAGAACUCUGAGUCCUAUUCGCAAGACAAGUAGCUAUGAAGAGCAAGACAAAGUGUCCCCCAUCAGCAAAUUAAAAUGUCAGAGUCACGGUUUAAACAGCAAGACACGUGUGGGGCAUGCCCACGAAGUCGACAAAUUCAAACAACUUUAGUCUUCUUCCUCAGCUCCUUCCUCCUCAUGGUGGUGCACUGAAGUCUUGCUGUAAUUGCACGAAGAGUGCCACUGUGUGGGGGAGCAUUCUGGAAGAGGCUGGGAGAAGGCAGGGGAGCCAGGCAGGCAGAGUGGUUCCUGCCCUCAGGGAGCUUUGACGCUGUAGCCAGAAGCUUUGAUUGUGUUCUAAGAAUUCUCUUUGCAGGCUCCUGGCUGCAUUAGGAGGAACUCGAAAGCUGAUUUAAAAUAAUUUCCUACCAAGGGAACAGAGUGGGAAUCCGGAUGGAUGGAGAAUUGUUAAUUUGACAUUUAAGAUUGAGGGACAAGUGGGUAUUUGUCUCAUCCCCUCGGGUUUUUUUUCUCCGUGGGAGAGAAGCAGCCAGCCUCACUGAUUGUCAAGUGUUAAUGGGAACCCUUCCAUUUUUCCCUAUUGAAAACAUGUAAUUUAAUGUGAAGCUUCUAUUGGUGGGCCGUGAGCAGGCAGAAUUCUCAGGAUAAUGAACUUGAUUUUCCACUUGAAAUGCAAUCCGCAUUCACGAAUUAUCUUUUUAUAAGGGAGACAUGGAGCAAAGUGGCUCACCCAUACAUCUCAGUUGACCUCACAAACACCUCUGAAGAGAGCGUCAUUACCUAUCUUUUAUAGACAACAAGGGGAAAUGGUAGCCUGGGGCUCUGGACUGUGCCAGUUCACUUCUGGUAGAUGAACAACUUGUUAUUUCGUUUCCCUUGGUCGAAUUGUUAUAAACAUUGCAACAUUAACACCUGCAUGACAUUUGCACGACUCAGCGCUUCGCAGCCUGGUCACGUGUCUUCUGUGGCUACUCUGCUAACCCUGUGUGCUUCAUCUGUAACAAUGGGUAAGCCCAGAUCUCUGCAGCCCAGCUUGCUUUUGUCCUAGACUAAAUCGAUAGCAAUCCAGCCUCCAGAAGUCUAAUCUAUUUCUUUAUUUGCAGAGUCUCUCUGGGGUGACACCCUUGGCCAGAGAAGACAACACUGGCACUCUCCUGUCAGAGUCCGAAAGCUCAAGAUGUAGAUGCUGUUACCACCUUGCCUGGGGCUUCCUGCUACUUGGCUGUCUUGAGUCAACAAUAGCCAAGGGGACAGAAGAAAGAGAGAAAAGUUAUAUCUAUAUGUUUGAACAGUUUGAUCCCUAAUGGAAUGGACGCUGGAGAUGAGGCAAACACAGCCCAGAGAGAACCACCAUUGUGACGCAUUAGAGAAGCACCCAUGACGAUCAAUCACUGCUGAUGGCCUGGACCGCCAGCAUCAAUACUCUAGCACUCUGGAGACUUGGAAAGUAAAACAAAGGUUGCUUGAACGCAAACACUCUGCCACAGCGUUUUAUCUGAUAGUGGGGGUGCGCGCUCCACUCAGUGACUGACAGGCAAGUAACAUAUACAGUGUGCACACGUUGGAUGGAGGGACAUAUCCCACAACCGGAUGGAGCCAGUGAAUGAUACGAGGACAUGAUUGCCCUAAGGUAUGGCUGAGGAGAAGGUUUUAAUGUAGACGUGAGGCAGAGUACGGCCAGAGGCAUCUGGGAGAGUUCAGAUCAAACCAGGCCAUAAGAGGAAAAAACAAGGGGUGGAGGUGAGAGGGAAAAAGAAGAGUGGGGACAAUCAGACUAAGAGAACCAAGAGCAAGUCAAGAGAGACAGAACAACCAAGAGGGGCUGAAAUGCCAGGGUUCUAUAGGAGAGAGAAGCUGGCAGGGAAGGGAGUCAAGCCCCAGGACUAUAGAGGUUUAGGGUAGCGGUAUAGUGAGAAGAGCUGAGAAGAGCCAAGACUCUGUAACUGGGACUUACAAUACUGAGAGAACCCAGAGGUCAGCAUGUGCUUUGGUUUGCUGCCAUUUGUCCCUGAGUUUCUCUGGGACCUGACAGCCAGGUAGGCUGAGGUUUUAUUACACUACUCACCAUGAUGAACAAUUUAGAACUCAUCAAUUAUUCAUGUCUGGGAUUUUUCCAUUUAACAUUUUGUGCAGCAAGUUGUGUAGGUAAGUAAAUCAUGGACAACAGAACUCCGGAGGCUGCAGCGGGAGAACUCCUGAGUGCCUAUUAAAUGACUUGGUUCUGGUUCCAAUGGCGGAGGUUCUGAAGUGGGCACUGCCAGCACCUACUGAAUUCUUACCAGCUCCGAGCGACUCUAACGUGGGUGUUCUCAGAACCACAUUUUGAGAAACAGUCCUCCGUAUUGACAUAAUUGGCAGCAUCCUUCCUUUAAACACUUCCCUUUGGUUGCUAUGAUACACCCCUCCUCCCCAAGUUCUGUGGGCUCUCUAAUUCUGUUCUCCAUCUCCCACUUCCUCUCCAGCCUGUACCACUGUCCCCAGACUCUCUGCUCCUUCCUCCGCUGUCUGUCCCCUGGGGCAUGGCUCCAACUUGGGCAGAUGGUCCAACCUUGCCCUGGUGAGUGCCAGCCUCCUGGUGAGAUCCGUGGAUUUUGGAACAGAGUUGUACUUCAUUCAGCCUGGGUCCAGGACUUAGCUGUGAAGAAGGUGAUAUUGACGCUGCUGCUCCAAUCACCCCCACCCUGCUCUGGGCCUUUCCUCUUCCAUUAAGAUCUCCUGCUUUGCAGUUUUCUAAUCAAAUUAGUUCCGAGGGAAGAGCUGAUCUGUUUACACGGUCACACUAAUGUGCCAACUCUCCCAGUCACUGGCAUUUGCAAAGCCUUUUUCCGUCUUUGUGGUUUCAACCCUGUUAUUUCAGGCUUCCCUUAGCAGAUAGGGUGAUUCAGAAGGGCACGACCAAGGGAUAGGGCGAGCUGAUUUGAGAAGGGCUGGCUCUUCUCUUCUUCGACAUUUCUAGGAGCGUAGACUGAAAACUAGCCUGUCAAACGGCUGGGAGGGCAGGACUUGGACCUUCUAGGUCUUGGGCAAGGAUAAGCAAUAACUGCAGUCACAAUAGGCCAGACCCUAGAAGCACGGAGGAUAAGGACAGACUACAGAGCUGCAAUUGGGCUUACUUCCUGCCACGCCUACCCAUGGCCACGCCUACCCAUAGCCACUCCUACCCAUAUACUUCUAAGAGCUCCUCUUCACUGGUCAGGUCUCAUCUUAAAAGUUCUCUCUUGGGAAUAAAUAGCCUGACCUGGCCGCCAGGUUGUGGUCCCUUUUUGUGAUCCUGUGUUAGCAACCGCUUGCCUUUGUUGUAUUUAUCACAGGUUGUAAUUAUUUGAUUUCCUUCUUCCUGUCUCCUUCUGGAGUUAAGUAAGGCUCCAGGCGGGUGAGACCAGGCUGCCUCACACCCCUUCUAUGCAGGUUCAAAACAGAGAUCAACAGGAAGCCGGAAGGACAGCAUGAACAAGCCCUACCACCCUGCAGUCCCCGAGCUGAAGCAAACUGUCCUCAAUAGGCAUGUGGUGCAGAAAGGCAGAAAACUGACAGUAAUAUAAAUGAUUCUUGUAUGUAAAACUGCCAAUAGAUGUUUGCCCAGUAGAGGGGGCAAUUGGCGCUUUUCCUGCGACUAUCAAGAUCUGAAUGCGCCAUAGUUUUCCUGAGGUCCCGUGUGCUCUUAGAAUUCUCCUUUGAGCCAGUCAGAACAUCUUACUGACUGCCUCAUUAGUUGGUAAAAUAACAUCUCUGACAAUCUCUGACAUAUUAGUUUCAUAUUUGUACCUGAGUCAAAUGUUUAGCUUCUUAAAAAUAUUUUUUUCAUUCGAACUUCAUGGAAACCAAGUAUUUUGUGCAUCAAAAGAUACUAUCAGGAAAAUGAAAAGUCCCCCUACAAAUGGAGGAAAAAAAACCCAACCCACACACAAAUCACAUCUAGAGAAUAAAGAACUAAACUUCAGCAAUACCGACAGGAGCAGUGACAAACAAACACAAACAAAACAACAACAAUAACAAAACCAAUUAAAAAUGGUCAAAGGCUUCAAUUAGGCAGCUCUCUAAAGAAAAUACAAAAGCACAUGUGAAUGUCACCAGAGUUGUUAGGUCAAAGCCUGAGCUCUCCUGGCAUAGCGGAAGGACCACAGGACAAAGGCAAGCUGGCAGAGGAUAGACAAAGACUGUCCCCAUGUAACUUCACAUAACUAACAUCAGUCUGCAGAAAAGCCCUUGACAUAGGAGCCAGGUAGAUGGUUGCUGUGUAACCAUAAAGGUUACUCACCUUGUGACCCCGUGCUUUGGUUUGAUUUGUUUCCCCCUCACUACUCUAGCCACACCUAUGCGAAGGAGCAUUUUCCCUCCAGUCUGAUUCUGUCUCUAACCAUGUGUCCCCGGUGGACUCCUUUGACACAGUAUAAAAGCCUGAAAUUGGGUGCCCUCAGAACUCAGAUCUACAGUCUGGCAUGAAAAUUCUCUCUCUCUCUCUCUCUCUCUCUCUCUCUCUCUCUCUCUCUCUCUCUCUCUCCCCUUCCUUCCCUAUUCCUCCCUCCCUACUUCUCCAUCUGUCCUUGAUAAUUCUACUCCUAGAUGUAAAUACAGGAGACUGAAAGCAGGGAUUUGACAGAUGUUUGAGCAUGGCCAUAGCAGCAUUAGUAACAGCAGCCAAUGUUGAAGUAAUCUGAAGCCAGGUAAGCCAGGUAGAUAUCUAUGAUCUUAUUACGAAGCUGAGGUAGGACUAUCAAGAGUCAAGGCCAGCCUAGAGAUCCUGUCACACACACACACACACACACACACACACACACACACACACACACACACACACACACGGGGGGGGGCGCAUGAUAGAGAGAAUCAACCAGCAGAUAAUGAAUGAAUGAAUGAAAUAUUGCAUAUAAAUACAGUGGGGGAUGCUAUUCAACCACUUAGAGGAAUAAAAUGCCAAUAUAUGCUACAAAUGAAUGGACUUUGUGUUAAUUCGGGUUUCCAUUCUGUGAUGAAACAUCAUGACCAAAACCAGCUUGAGGUGGGAAGGGUUUAUUCUGUUUACACUUCCAGGUAACAGUCCAUCACUAAUGGGAGUCCGGGAGGUACCUUAAGGGCAGAUGCUGAAGGCGCAGGAGCUGAUGCAGAGGCCGUGAAGGGGGGCUUCUUACUGGCUUGUUCCUCAUGGCUUGC